UACGGGGGGGAGCAAGCGUUGUUCGGAUUUACUGGGCGUAAAGGGCGCGUAGGCGGCGUGACAAGUCACUUGUGAAAUCUCCGGGCUUAACUCGGAACGGUCAAGUGAUACUGUCGUGCUAGAGUGCGGAAGGGGCUACUGGAAUUCUCGGUGUAGCGGUGAAAUGCGUAGAUAUCGAGAGGAACACCUGCGGCGAAGGCGGGUAGCUGGGCCGACACUGACGCUGAGGAGCGAAAGCGUGGGGAGCGAACAGG
rnacentral:rRNA from 1 species